rnacentral:misc_RNA from 1 species
GAUGAAGAACGCAGCAAAAUGCGAUAAGUAAUGUGAAUUGCAGAAUUCAGUGAAUCAUCGAAUCUUUGAACGCACAUUGCGACCGCCAGUAUUCUGGCGGGCAUGCCUGUUCGAGCGUCAUUUCAACCCUCAAGCACAGCUUGGUGUUGGGACUCGCGUUAAUUCGCGUUCCUCAAAUUGAUUGGCGGUCACGUCGAGCUUCCAUAGCGUAGUAGUAAAACCCUCGUUACUGGUAAUCGUCGCGGCCACGCCGUUAAACCCCAACUUCUGAAUGUUGACCUCGGAUCAGGUAGGAAUACCCGCUGAACUUAAGCAUAUCAAUAAGCGGAGGA